AGGGGUAUCGCCAAGCGGUAAGGCACCGGGUUUUGAUCCCGCAUCCGGAGGUUCGAAUCCUUCUACCCCUGCAA
rnacentral:tRNA from 1 species